rnacentral:rRNA from 1 species
GACGAACGCUGGCGGCGUGCUUAACACAUGCAAGUGGAGCGACGAACCGGGGCUUGCCCCGGGGCAGAGCCGCGAACGGGUGAGUAACACGUGGGUAACCUGCCUCAAUGAUUGGGACAACCCGGGGAAACUCGGGCUAAUACCAAAUGUGUUCACUCCUUCUAAGGGGAGUGAGGAAAGGAAGCUUCGGCCUCCGCAUUGAGAUGGGCCCGCGGCCCAUUAGCUUGUUGGUGAGGUAACGGCUCACUAAGGCUUCGAUGGGUAGCUGGUCUGAGAGGACGAUCAGCCACACUGGGACUGAGACACGGCCCAGACUCCUACGGGAGGCAGCAGUGGGGAAUCUUGCACAAUGCGCGAAAGCGUGAUGCAGCAACGCCGCGUGGGGGAAGAC